GAUGAACGCUGGCGGCGUGCCUAAUACAUGCAAGUCGAGCGAACGGACGAGAAGCUUUCUUCUCUGAUGUUAGCGGCGGACGGGUGAGUAACACGUGGAUAACCUACCUAUAAGACUGGGAUAACUUCGGGAAACCGGAGCUAAUACCGGAUAAUAUUUUGAACCGCAUGGUUCAAAAGUGAAAGACGGUCUUGCUGUCACUUAUAGAUGGAUCCGCGCUGCAUUAGCUAGUUGGUAAGGUAACGGCUUACCAAGGCAACGAUGCAUAGCCGACCUGAGAGGGUGAUCGGCCACACUGGAACUGAGACACGGUCCAGACUCCUACGGGAGGCAGCAGUAGGGAAUCUUCCGCAAUGGGCGAAAGCCUGACGGAGCAACGCCGCGUGAGUGAUGAAGGUCUUCGGAUCGUAAAACUCUGUUAUUAGGGAAGAACAGAUGUGUAAGUAACUGUGCACAGCUUGACGGUACCUAAUCAGAAAGCCACGGCUAACUACGUG
rnacentral:rRNA from 1 species